UACGGAGGGUGCAAGCGUUGUUCGGAUUUAUUGGGCGUAAAGGGUGCGUAGGCGGCGCGCUAAGUCAGGUGUGAAAUUUCGGAGCUUAACUCCGAAACUGCAUUUGAUACUGGCGUGCUUGAGGACUGGAGAGGAGACUGGAAUUCAUGGUGUAGCAGUGAAAUGCGUAGAGAUCAUGAGGAAGACCAGUGGCGAAGGCGGGUCUCUGGACAGUUCCUGACACUGAGGCACGAAGGCCAGGGGAGCAAACGGG
rnacentral:rRNA from 1 species